UACAGAGGGUGCAAGCGUUGCUCGGAAUCAUUGGGCGUAAAGAGCGUGUAGGCGGCCAUACAGGUCAGCUGUGAAAACUCGAGGCUCAACCUCGAGACGUCGGUUGAAACCGUAUGGCUAGAGUCCGGAAGAGGAGAGUGGAAUUCCCGGUGUAGCGGUGAAAUGCGCAGAUAUCGGGAAGAACACCCGUGGCGAAGGCGGCUCUCUGGGACGGUACUGACGCUGAGACGCGAAAGCGUGGGGAGCGAACAGG
rnacentral:rRNA from 1 species